UUGCAAUUAAAAAGCUCGUAGUUGGAUUUCAGUCUUAAUUCGUCUGGCCCGCUCCCUUGAGGAGCCGAGUGCCGGUUGCGAAUUGGACUUCCUUCUAGCAUGAAUCUCCUACCGUUAUGCGGCCGGGAAGGACAUCUGGAUCAUUUACUUUGAAGAAAUUAGAGUGUUCAAAGCAAGCUUACGCUGUGAAUAUAUUAGCAUGGAAUAAUAACAUAGGACCCGGGUUCUAUUUUGUUGGUUUCUAGGACUCAAGUAAUGAUUGAUAGGGACAGUUGGGGGUGCUGCUAUUAUAUGGCCAGAGGUGAAAUUCACGGAUUCAUAUAAGAGCAACUUAUGCGAAAGCAUUCACCAAGGAUGUCUUCUUUAAUCAAGAACGAAAGUUGGGGGAUCGAAGACGAUCAGAUACCGUCGUAGUCUCAACCAUAAACUAUGCCGACUAGGGAUUGGUGGACGUUGAAUUUCCGACUCCAUCAGCACCUCAUGAGAAAUCAAAGUCUUUGGGUUCCGGGGGGAGUAUGGUCGCAAGGCUGAAACUUAAAGGAAUUGACGGAAGGACACCACCAGAAGUGGAACUUGCGGCUUAAUUUGACUCAACACGGGAA
rnacentral:rRNA from 1 species